rnacentral:tRNA from 1 species
GCCCGGGUGGCGGAACUGGUAGACGCGCAGGAUUCAAAACCCUGUAUCGCAAGAUGUGAGAGUUCGAUUCUCUCCCCGGGCACCA